UACGUAGGCAGCGAGCGUUGUUCGGAAUUACUGGGCGUAAAGAGUGUGUAGGCGGUGCUCCCAGUCUGUUGUGAAAUCUCCCGGCUUAACUGGGAGGGUGCAGCGGAAACUAGAGUGCUAGAGGGUGGGAGAGGUAAGCGGAAUUCCUGGUGUAGCGGUGAAAUGCGUAGAUAUCAGGAGGAACACCUGUGGUGUAGACAGCUUACUGGACCACUUCUGACGCUGAGGUGCGAAAGCGUGGGGAGCAAACAGG
rnacentral:rRNA from 1 species